rnacentral:rRNA from 1 species
GAUGAACGCUGGCGGCGUGCCUAAUACAUGCAAGUCGAGCGAACAGACGAGGAGCUUGCUCCUCUGACGUUAGCGGCGGACGGGUGAGUAACACGUGGAUAACCUACCUAUAAGACUGGGAUAACUUCGGGAAACCGGAGCUAAUACCGGAUAAUAUAUUGAACCGCAUGGUUCAAUAGUGAAUGACGGUUUUGCUGUCACUUAUAGAUGGAUCCGCGCCGCAUUAGCUAGUUGGUAAGGUAACGGCUUACCAAGGCAACGAUGCGUAGCCGACCUGAGAGGGUGAUCGGCCACACUGGAACUGAGACACGGUCCAGACUCCUACGGGAGGCAGCAGUGGGGAAUCUUCGGCAAUGGGCGAAAGCCUGACGGAGCAACGCCGCGUGAGUGAUGAAGGUCUUCGGAUCGUAAAACUCUGUUAUUAGGGAAGAACAAAUGUGUAAGUAACUAUGCACGUCUUGACGGUACCUAAUCAGAAAGCCACGGCUAACUACGUG